rnacentral:tRNA from 1 species
GGCGCGUUCUUCUAACGGUUAGGAAACCGGUUUCUCAAUCCGGAGAUGGCAGUUCGAUUCUGCUACGCGCUACAA